rnacentral:lncRNA from 1 species
UGACAUUUUCGAUACGGUAGUAGCGUGGUGGUGGGGCGUCGUUAGCGGUAUUGCGUUUAUGGAUGAUGAAGAGGAGAGCGAGAUGAAACAAAGGAUGUGGUAUUCUUUCUGCUUCUCAAUUCGAAAUCAGCUAUUUCCGAUUGAAGCUUCUUGAACAAAAUCAUCGCAUAAUAAGGAAAAGAGAAGAUACAAUGACGGCAGUAAAUAGAAAGAGGAACAGAUAAUUAAAGCCAAAACUGGAUCAGAGCAGUGGAUCUUGAAUAAGCAGAUGUUGAUAUACAAAUCUCUCCCCUUGAAAGUGAUUACAACUACUGAUGACCUCCUAUCUGCUGAUCUUGUUAAACUGCUGACCCAUAACUGCUGCUCAACUAAAGAUCUGAUGGAAGACUAAAGUCCUGCUGAUUCAAUCUACUGCCUUGAGUCAAGCACUGCUGAUCCGGACAAGUGCUGCUGGGUUCACAGCAGUAGAAGGUUGCAGCAGCUGUUCUAAAGUCUGUUUUGUAAUAGAAUGUAUUAGCAGCAGUUAACACAAGCAGUGUCUGUAUAGAUCAGAGGUUAGAGUUUGUUAGGAGGUUAGAUGUCACUUUCAUGGUGACGUCAGCAAAGAUGCUCAGUAGUUUGCAAGUGCCUAUAAAUAGUUCAGUACUUGGUACUGUUCUAUUAGCUCUUUGCAUCAUUCGUCUUCUUUGCACGAACAAACUACUGAGCUCUGGCUGAGGGGCAGUUUGCAUUCUUACAUCAAUCAUUGUAAUCGUAGUUGAAAUAAAUUCAAUCUUUCG